GGACGAACGCUGGCGGCGUGUUUAACUCAUGCAAUUCGAACGUAAAGGCCCUUCUUUUGUGGGGUGCUCGCGUGGCGAACGGGUGAGUAACACGUGAGUUACCUGCCCUUGACUUUGGGAUAACUUCAGUGAACUGGGGCUAAUACUGGAUAGGAGCUCCUGGUGCGUGGUGGGGGGUGGAAAGUUGCGGCGGUUGGGUAUGGAGUCGCGGGUUAUCAGCUUGUUGGUGGGGUAGUGGCUUACGGCGGUUUUGACGGGUAGUCGGCCUGUGAGGUUGACCGGCAACAUUGGGACUGAGAUACGCCCCAGACUCCUACGGGAGGCAGUCGUCGCGAAUAUUGCACAAUAGUCGGAAGCCUGAUGCAGCAACGCCGCGAGCGGGAUAACAGCCUUCAGGUUGUGAACCGCUUUCGCCUAUGACGAAGCGUGAGUGACGAUAAUGGCUAAAGAAGCACCGGCUAACUACGUG
rnacentral:rRNA from 1 species